rnacentral:rRNA from 2 species
GAAACGCUGGCGGCGUGCCUAAUACAUGCAAGUCGAACGAACUCUGGUAUUGAUUGGUGCUUGCAUCAUGAUUUACAUUUGAGUGAGUGGCGAACUGGUGAGUAACACGUGGGAAACCUGCCCAGAAGCGGGGGAUAACACCUGGAAACAGAUGCUAAUACCGCAUAACAACUUGGACCGCAUGGUCCGAGUUUGAAAGAUGGCUUCGGCUAUCACUUUUGGAUGGUCCCGCGGCGUAUUAGCUAGAUGGUGGGGUAACGGCUCACCAUGGCAAUGAUACGUAGCCGACCUGAGAGGGUAAUCGGCCACAUUGGGACUGAGACACGGCCCAAACUCCUACGGGAGGCAGCAGUAGGGAAUCUUCCACAAUGGACGAAAGUCUGAUGGAGCAACGCCGCGUGAGUGAAGAAGGGUUUCGGCUCGUAAAACUCUGUUGUUGAAGAAGAACAUAUCUGAGAGUAACUGUUCAGGUAUUGACGGUAUUUAACCAGAAAGCCACGGCUAACUACGUGCCAGCAGCCGCGGUAAUACGUAGGUGGCAAGCGUUGUCCGGAUUUAUUGGGCGUAAAGCGAGCGCAGGCGGUUUUUUAAGUCUGAUGUGAAAGCCUUCGGCUCAACCGAAGAAGUGCAUCGGAAACUGGGAAACUUGAGUGCAGAAGAGGACAGUGGAACUCCAUGUGUAGCGGUGAAAUGCGUAGAUAUAUGGAAGAACACCAGUGGCGAAGGCGGCUGUCUGGUCUGUAACUGACGCUGAGGCUCGAAAGUAUGGGUAGCAAACAGGAUUAGAUACCCUGGUAGUCCAUACCGUAAACGAUGAAUGCUAAGUGUUGGAGGGUUUCCGCCCUUCAGUGCUGCAGCUAACGCAUUAAGCAUUCCGCCUGGGGAGUACGGCCGCAAGGCUGAAACUCAAAGGAAUUGACGGGGGCCCGCACAAGCGGUGGAGCAUGUGGUUUAAUUCGAAGCUACGCGAAGAACCUUACCAGGUCUUGACAUACUAUGCAAAUCUAAGAGAUUAGACGUUCCCUUCGGGGACAUGGAUACAGGUGGUGCAUGGUUGUCGUCAGCUCGUGUCGUGAGAUGUUGGGUUAAGUCCCGCAACGAGCGCAACCCUUAUUAUCAGUUGCCAGCAUUAAGUUGGGCACUCUGGUGAGACUGCCGGUGACAAACCGGAGGAAGGUGGGGAUGACGUCAAAUCAUCAUGCCCCUUAUGACCUGGGCUACACACGUGCUACAAUGGAUGGUACAACGAGUUGCGAACUCGCGAGAGUAAGCUAAUCUCUUAAAGCCAUUCUCAGUUCGGAUUGUAGGCUGCAACUCGCCUACAUGAAGUCGGAAUCGCUAGUAAUCGCGGAUCAGCAUGCCGCGGUGAAUACGUUCCCGGGCCUUGUACACACCGCCCGUCACACCAUGAGAGUUUGUAACACCCAAAGUCGGUGGGGUAACCUUUUAGGAACCAGCCGCCUAAGGUGGGACAGAUGAUUAGGGGGG